CCUACGGGUGGCAGCAGUCGAGAAUCAUUCACAAUGGGGGGAACCCUGAUGGUGCGACGCCGCGUGGGGGAAUGAAGGUCUUCGGAUUGUAAACCCCUGUCAUGUGGGAGCAAAUUAAAAAGAUAGUACCACAAGAGGAAGAGACGGCUAACUCUGUGCCAGCAGCCGCGGUAAUACAGAGGUCUCAAGCGUUGUUCGGAAUCACUGGGCGUAAGGCGUGCGUAGGCUGUUUCGUAAGUCGUGUGUGAAAGGCGCGGGCUCAACCCGCGGACGGCACAUGAUACUGCGAGACUAGAGUAAUGGAGGGGGAACCGGAAUUCUCGGUGUAGCAGUGAAAUGCGUAGAUAUCGAGAGGAACACUCGUGGCGAAGGCGGGUUCCUGGACAUUAACUGACGCUGAGGCACGAAGGCCAGGGGAGCGAAAGGGAUUAGAUACCCGAGUAGUC
rnacentral:rRNA from 1 species